rnacentral:lncRNA from 1 species
AGACGUUCUAGAGUCUCAUGUGUAUUAUUAGUUGCCUAAGUUCAUAUGAGCUAGAUUGUUUGUGUCAUGGUUUGCUUUUUUUGUUGCAGUAUAUGCAGUUUUUGUCUAAUCAUGAACAUAGAGGACAUGAAAAGUUUGAGUUGGAAUAGCCAAGGCGUCUGGUUUUUGCGUUCUCAGCGUGCUUUUCUCUGUUUCUUCUCUGUCCAUAUUUCUUUCUUCUGUGAAUUCUUGUUGAUGCUGUAUUAAUCCUGUACGGAUCCUAAUUAUCGGUUCAUUGCAUUUAUCAUUCAUUUAUUGUGGAAAUUGGCUAUGAAUUCAUUCCUGAUGCAAGAAAGUGCAACCUAUAGAAUGGCCAUUCUAAAUAAUAUUGGGGAAACUGUCAUAAAAUAAUUGGAUAAAACGACUUGAAAAAGUGAAGCCUGGAAUCAUUCUUCCAUGUCAUGGGCCAUCCUGUUGCUCUGUGACCCUGUCGUUAUCAUCUUGCUUGAUUGUUUACAUGCACAUCUAUCUACACACUUGAGUCAUAAUGUUUAUAUAAUGUGAAAUUCUUCAAGAGAAAGCUAAUUUUUCUGAACUCAAACCUAAUUUUUGAUGUCUACAUGGUUAUGCAGAGAAAAAAAAUUUGAACUUACUCAAAAGAAUCUCAGAAGACAAUUUUUCUGAAUUCAAAGCUAAUUUUUGAAGUCUACACGGUUAUGCAGAGAAUGAAAAACUUGAAACCAAAGAAAAGGCAAAUAUCUGAAAAUCUACCAGAUUGUAGGAAUCAUUUUGAAUGUACAACAUUUGGCAUGGGAACCGAGAAAUAUCCAGUUAGAACUUUACG